rnacentral:lncRNA from 1 species
CCCUGGGGGGUCGUGGUCAUUCGCCAUGGGAGGAGCAGGAGCAAGCAGUCCCUUUCCUGAUAAUGCAGAGGCAGACGGACCCGUUUUACUUUCACUGGCUUGUGCUCAAAGAAACAGAUGAAUGUAGAGUUUCAUAAACAAGGCCGCGACAUUAAAAUAUCGGUGAAGGCGGCUACCCCACCGGUUUUGGCACCAGACAUAGAUUCUUAGGAGAGAUGACGAGACGUACCCCCACGCGUAGCGGGAAGCAACCAAAGUGAAGAAGAAGAAGAAGGGUUAAACCCCCACCCCCUUCCCCUCUCGCAACCACCUCCACCACCACCACCUUUAAAAGAAGGUGCUAAAGGGGGGGUGUCCUGCAAAGAAAAGGAGAGGAGUGCCCCCUAACCUUUCCCUGCUUUCCACUGAAAUCUCCUAUCUGCAACCAUACACACUGUUGCUCUUCUUGCUCAAUUCUGCUCUCAGCAACCAUUUCUCCAUAUAUAAGUCACUAUCCCCUCUGCAUUUCCCACCCCUUCUUCAGCCAUGGAUUCCUGAAGAAGCUCCGUGCUACCAGAGGAGGCUUCUGCUGUGAGCAAUUGCAAGCUGUGUGAGUUCCGCGAACCUCGUCGGGUCUGCGAAUUUCAAGCUCGCAGGCUCUGCAUUGCACUGAAAUGGGGAGGCAUUCGUGCUGCUACAAGCAGAAGCUGAGGAAGGGGCUCUGGUCCCCUGAGGAGGAUGAGAAGCUCAUGAACCACAUAACCAAGCAUGGCCAUGGCUGCUGGAGCUCUGUCCCUAAACUUGCAGGUGAGCAAAAACUAAUAUUCUGCAUUUCACUCUUGUCAGUUACAAACUUCCAUUCUUUCCCCCCUUCUUCUCCUCCUAAGAAGGCUUCCCUCUCUUAGUCAGGCCAAUUAUCUUAAUUUGCCUCGUAAAUUGCUGCAGGGCUCCAAAGGUGUGGCAAGAGCUGCAGGCUGAGGUGGAUAAACUACCUGAGGCCAGACCUUAAGAGAGGUGCCUUCGCUCAGGACGAGGAAGACCUCAUCGUUGAACUCCAUGCUGUGCUUGGGAACAGGUGAAUUUUAAGCCUAGAGUUGCACUCUGAGGACCCAAACAGAAUUCAGCAUUAGUAACUGCAGAGCAAACCUUGAUAAUUCAACUAAUACGCCUCUUUUUUUUCCAUGAGAAGGUGGUCUCAAAUUGCAGCACAGAUGCCUGGGAGGACUGACAAUGAGAUUAAGAACCUCUGGAACUCGUCCCUCAAGAAGAAGCUGCGGCAGAAGGGCAUUGACCCCAACACCCACAAGCCCCUCACCGAGGCUGAUCGCAGUGGAGCAGCUCCCACCAUCAGCACCGAGAGGACCUCUGGUUCCAGUGACGUCAACCCGUCAAGCGCUGGUGCUCAAGGGAACUUCGGUCACCUCCUCAGCGAGACAGCCCAAUCGUCAAUGCUGCUGCCGGUGUAUGACAAGAAGCACCCUGAAACUCCAAGCUUGGCACGACCUAAGGUGCCAGCAAAGGAGUUGUUCCUGGACCAGCUUACUGCUGGUCACGAGAGCCCAUCAAGCUGCCGUUCAUCAGGUCCAACGCUGUAUUUUCCUUUCCAGCAGCAAUUAGGCUACAGCAAUGAGUGUGGCAGUGGAGAUGGUGCAAAUAUGAACAUGAACUCACUCUGGUUUAACCAGAAUGAUUUCAACUGCAGCACAAUCUCCACUGUGAUGCCAACAGUUUCACCAUCAGCCCUCUCGACACCGAUGGGACUGAACCUCCCACCAGACAAUCACCGCCAUGGGGGCACUGGCAUAGGCAGUGCCCCUUUCUACUGGGGUGGUGUUAAUCCUAGCAGCAGCGGUAGUACCGGGAGCAGCGGAAGCAACAGCAUGGGGUUCGAGCCACAGAGCACGAACUCAAUUCUGGAGAACAGUGUAUUCCCAUGGACAGAUAUCGGAGUUGGGCAAGAAAAAGAUACCAGAGUUCAGUUAGUGGAGGAACUCAAGUGGCCUGACUUGCUUCAUGGAACCUUUGCAGAGGCAACCACAGCGAUGCAGAACCAGAGCCAAUCACUAUACGAUGAUGUGAUCAAAGCAGAGAGCCAGUUCAACAUGGAAGGGAUAUGUGCUUCUUGGUUCCAGAAUCAGCAGCCACAGCAACAGCUGCAAGCAGCAUCAGACAUGUAUGAUAAAGACUUGCAAAGAAUGCCCUUGUCUUUUGAGCAUAUCUAGGUGCUAUGUUCUGCCAUACAUGGAACAGAGAAGAUCAGCAGAAGUUCAGACUUGUCUCACAAUUUCGUGAGCAGGCUAUGCUGAGGUGCUUGCAUAGAUACAUAUGCGGGUUGAUACAGGAAUCAACCCUCCACAACCUUCCUCGGCUAAAGAUCAUGCAGUGCCACGGAAAAGACAGCUCUGUCAUCAGGAGUGGCGUCAAAUUGCACAGAAAAGUACAUUCUGGAGUCUCCCUUUCUUUCUCUUGAAAAUUGUUGUUUUCUUCUGUACACGACAGCUCAACUUUUGGAUACUUGAGUUUUUGUUCACUCUCUGUUUAUCAAAUAAAUAGACAGGAAUGGGAAAAACUGCAUGUGUCGGUAGCUAUCACUGACCAUACAAGUAGUCCCAGACUUUUCAACUGCUGCCAUGCACGUAGAUGGGAAUUAAUUAUUGCAAGUUGUAUUUUUAUAUCUUUUGAGAAGUUGCCGACAAACUGCAGUUGUAUAUUUGUAAAGGCAGAAAAUUGGAAUAUUGACCCAUGAGCAUUUUUCUCUGGCUUUCCCUUUCCUGUUUCUGUCUUAAUCUUUUCCCUGUGGAGAAUCCGAAGCUACUUGAUCGCUUUCUACUUCAAUACUAGCAUGGAAAAGGAUUGGUUGAUUUGAUAUGGUCUAAAGAGGUAACCAUCCUCAGGAGAGAGUAAGCACGGCUGAGAGAAAAGGAGGCAAGUAUUUAAGAAUAUCUACCUACCAUGCAGAUGGGUAGCAUAUGAAGCCUCAUUUUGUGGUGAGCACUCAACCAUAUGCUCAACUAUGGCUGCGCAUUAUGGUUUGUCCAUGAUUACAUCGCAGCGUUGCAAAAUGUACCUUAAACUUGGCUAGGAGCUCAACAUUCAGCAACCAUGGAACUUAAGCCAUGUUGGGUGCUUAUUUGGUUUAUCACGAACUAAUUGAGGUACGAGCUAGGUGACACUGUAAGUAACCCAUAACCAACCUCCAGAAAAGCUAGCCUCUACAUAAAAAGGCCAAAUAGAGUACCAGAACUUGGUUUCAACGUUCAACAUCACUGUACCAAGGGCCAUAAUACUAAUGCUCCUGCUAAUAAUACAAUUGAGGGACCAUGUCAUGGGCUGAGUUAGAUUGUUAACCAAUUUGGCUUGGCCUUGGUGGGAUCCUUUCUUUAUGACUCCUCCUGUUCAAACCCUCAAAUAUGGGUUUAUUUCUAUGGGUUGCAAUAGUGCUAAAUAAUGGACAUAUGAAAUCAGGUUCCCAAACAAUAGAUUAGCUUUAGAAGUUACAGACUAUAUUUACAUCACACAAUUAACAGGGCUCGAUCAUUUGCAAAAAAAAAGGCUGGCAUAAAGUGAUUAGCACUUUCAUUUUCAAAGACACGAUGAGGCCAAUAAUGCUCAUAAGGACCAUUAGCACCAAAAGGAAAUUAGAGAAGCCCAAUAAUUCUGGAAUGCAGUGAUAAAUGCUACUCCAUGUCUAUCUCUAGAUUCUGGUACAUAAUUCACGAUGAAUUACAAUUCAUAAGAGCUUGGUUGCGUACCAUGCCGUUUCAACUUAUAUGGCAUAUGCACUUUAGUUCGCUUUGUUUAUAUCCUGUGUCUUCUUGGACGUAUGAGCUGUAUUAUUGGAUGCAUCUGCAUGUUUUAGAAAUUGACACAUCAGUUGACAGAAAAAACAAAAGGUUGAAAAGGAAGAAGUAACAAGACAGGAAAAUAGCAACUGUUCACAAAGGAGGAUGCUAGUGCUCUUCCAGAUGAAAAAGGACAUUUAAUUUAAUAAUUUGAUAUUUAGUGUCAAGAUUGCCAGCAGCAGUAGACUGCAAUAAUGACCACCUAACAUCAUCAUUAACGAAUGGAAGAUAACAGAUGAGAAGGAAUAAUAUCACAAAUUACUCAAUCAGCAGUUCUUUUUCCCUUGAACAUGCACCGGACUGCAUGUCGUUUUGCAUAUUACUCAAGUAAUAGUAACUUGGCAACAUUAGAUCUGAGAUAUUGUAAUGUGUGUGCUAUUAUGAGGUACAAAUGUAGCAAAGAACAAUCAACAGCCAGUUCACCCAUUCCAUUUGACACAACCCACACUGCAAUUGAUUGUGAUCAAGUAUUGCUUUAGUUUGAUAGAAACAUAAAUUUUAGGUAAAGCAAAAAAAAGGCCAUACAGUUCUUGUUUUACAAGGAAAUAACUAAAAGCAAGACACGAAUCUACUACUGCAUGAUACAUGUACUUGCGAAUAGUUGUUUCCUCUCAGCCUCCCUUUGACAUCAGCAUGAUGAUGAAAUAGGAAAGCAUAUUGGCACAGCUUUACCGAAAAAGGCUUUCGCCCCGCUUUAUAAAUAAAGCAACGAUCAUCAACAUGACAGUACAAACUCACACCACCACACACGCACACACCCAAUGCAUGAUACAUACGCGCUGAGUGCAGCAACACCACCCCUAGCUACGAAGAGAUGAAGCCGCAUAUGGCGAACCGUGAACUCCAAGGCAGCGCCUUCAGGAAGGAUAUGGCACUGGAGCGCCGCCACCGCCCGACCCGAGGGUCAGAGUUUCCCCUGGAGCAACACAACGGGCAAUGAGAGCCGCGACGACGCCUUCAAGAAGGGAACGAGCUUCGCCGCCGCCGGUCCAUCCGGGGAUAGAACAGGUUUUCACCCCGGCCAACACUCACCGCCACCGAACACCACACCCCGGCCAUCAUGCCGCCCACACGGCCAUGACAGUCGGGCAGCACCCAGCCACGGGCUCUGCCCAUGAGCACCGGGCUACCACCACCAGGGCCGCCACCCCGGCAUCCAAGACCAAGACGCCACCUCACCCGAGUCCCGCCGCUACACCAACCAAAGAGACGAGCGGAAAGGCUCGGCCUUUCGUACCCCUGAGCAGCCCCCAACACCAAGACCCAAUAGGCUGGCCAAAGAUGGCCACCAUCGCCCCGUCCUGCAGCACCGGGCGCGAGACAAGCUCGAUCUUGCCGCCGGGCGCGAGACGAGCUCGGUCCUGCUGUCGGGCGCGAGACGAGCUCGGUCCCGCGGCAACGGGCGCGAGACGUGCGAUGGACCGCAGCUGGGAGCGGGUCAGCCCUUCGAGUCAAGCAGAGGCCGGACGACGAGGAGAUGAAGCAAGGUCGAAACAGCCCGACCGCAGACGAGCCGACGCCGAAGAAGCCGGCCGCCGCCACGGGCAACGCUGCCGGCCACCGUGUAGCCGCCACGCCACCGGAAGUCCACCAUCCGGACCUCCCCGCGCCACCGCCCACGGCCAGAGCACCAGCCACACCCGGCCGCUGCCCCAACCCGCGCCGCCUGCCAGAAAAGGCGCGUCAAAUCCGGCCGACACGCCCCCCACCUCCACCAGCUCCAGCCCAACUCCAACCCCGACCGAGAGGAGAGGGAGACCGAGCCGAAGCCCAUAGAGAAAGGGUCCACCAGAACCGCCCGCUGCAGCCCGUGACCAGAUCCGAUCCACCGCCGCCACCACGGGCACGCAGCCGCCGCCCACCACGCUGCCGCUCGCACGUCGCCACCGGAAGCCACCACUGCCGCACCGACAGGCCCUGCGCACGCCCGGCGCCGCCGCCGGAGCAGGCCGCCCCGCACCGGACACCCCCGAGCGGCAGAGAGAGAGAGGGGCCCCGCCGCCAGCCAUCGUGAGGGGCUUUGCCCCGGCGGCUGCGGCCGGCGGCGAGGGCGGGGGAGGGUGGGGGGGAGGAGAGGGCGGGGGGAGCCGUGCCGCCGCCCGAGUCGCCCGCGGGGGGGACGACGCGGGGGCUAGGUCUCCUUUUUUAACUCUAUUCACUCUCUCAUGUCAUUGGCACAGCUUUAAGUUUGGAAUUUUGUAAUUAUAAAAGGCUGCUCCAUUUUGGGGCUGCACGUGUCAAGUUAAUUUCCCUGUCUUCGGCAUUAUCUGUCUCUGCAGUCAACACGUGUCAAUUACAGACUGGAGACGUGACUAACCGACUAGGAAAAGUUCCAUCAGUUAUUAAACUGUGAAUUCGCAGAUAUGUUAAGGCAAAUGCUAAAGCUGGCACAUCUUUGUGCUUGUGUUAGCAAUCUCUUCUUAGUCCAUAGGAAGCUCAAAGAACUAAAAUCAGAUUAUGGUUCUAUGAACCAUGCCAGGAUCAGGUAGUGGGAGAAGAAUAGCAUUUGCAGAGUUUCAACAGUGUAAACCCAGCCAGUACUCAAUAGGUCCACUCAAUCAAAAUGAAUGGCCCAAUGGCAUAAGGUAGGAAGAAGCAGCAAAUAUGAGCAGCUUAAUUAGUUGGAACCAUCCUUCAGUUGAUUGCCUAGUAAUGAAGGUGUGCAAGUAGAUGGUAUCAUCAACCAAGAGAAUAAUAGCAACUAGAUACAGCCUAAGUCAGUGGCAGACGUUGCAACAAAUGUACUCCCUCCGUCCCAAAAUAAGUGUCGCUGAUUUUGUACAAAGUUAGUACAAAGUUGUACUAAAUCAACGAUACUUAUUUCGGGACGGAGGAAGUACCUAAUAUACAGCCCAAGUGUAUGCGCAUUCAACAAUUUAAUUCAUGGAAUCAUAUGUCAAGGCAUCAUGGUUCUUUUAUCUUCUGGGUUUUCCUUUUACCUCUUUGACACAUUAUGCUGGUGAUGGUGACGGUGAGGAUGAGUCAAUAGGCCUUGUGAAGAGUGCUGCUGCAGUUUCCUCCUUCAUAGGCUGGCUGCUAUGUUCGGGAGCACGAGUCCCGGCACAUCAAGGCCAUCUUCUCAUUAGCGUACCAGCAGUUUAAGGAUCAUGCUUGCGGGCCUUCUAUGUAAAUCACAAACGUUCACCCAGGACAGGGAAGUCAUCUUGCUCAUCGACGGCGUCUCUUUAAAAACUUAGGGACGAUCUAGAAUAUCUCCAACAAUGUCUCACUAAGCAACACCUCAGCGCAUAUCGUCGAUCUGUUACCAAAGUUCCCGAUUCAUGUUAGACAUUGGUAAAGUGUAAGUAACAAUUGCACUUCAGUUGAUAGCAAGAAGAGAGAUCAUUGCAGAUUACGACAACAGAACCUAAGAGCAGAAGCUGAGACCAUUCUGACUUCCUUUAUUUGUCUAAGAGCUCUUCACUCUGAGAACCUGACUUAGACCGUCCAUAAAUACCAAACCACAACUGCUACAUUACAAAAUUUAACUUUUGGAUUAUCGAAAUAUGAAACUAUCUUGACAAUGCACACAUCCUCUAUAUCUACCUAUCUGGUCAAAUCAGAGACAUUAGGGUUGCUGUUUAUUAUCUUUUUGCUUUAUGAUUUUAUCCAGUUUGUACAUUCAUCUUAGAAUAAACAGUUGGGACUUAUGUAGCAAAAUAUUUCAUUAUGUAUUAAAGAUGCACUACCAGACUAUGAAAUGAGGCAAGCACUCAUGUAAGUAAAUCACAGUACCCCAAAAAAUACAAUGUUAAUUUACAAAACUUGGGACUUGAAAAUAAAUGGGAGAUCCUUACACUUUGAAAGGUACUCCUGACAUACAAAAAGGUGUCCUUAGCCUUUCAUAACUUGUCAAACACAAUAGCACCAUGAUCUAUACCAAGCUAUCGAUUACCCUUGAUUCUACAAGAAACAACAAAAUUCCGAACCUUAAUGUGCAAAUUUCAGAACUUCAUACCGGUGCUCGAAAGGAACUGCUCCAGCAGGCCAAAACAUUGUAUCUAGAACCUAUUGCCAACUUAAACACACUGCACUUCCAGAAGAUUGCUCAUGGAACAUAAGUACUAACCACAAGCUUCUAGCAGAACACUACCAGAUGCGGUGUUCAAUAUAAAAAUAUUUCCACAUGUUUAGGUGAUACUGUAAAAUGAAAACUAUUGUUUUUUGGACGCAUUAGGUUUAACAUGUACUUACUCGAACAGGCGAACAAUAACAUUGCAGAACGUCAACAUGCUUGAACAUAAAUCCACUGAAACAAAUAGAGUAAAUUACUAGAUAACCCAAUAAUAUAGGUCAACAUUACAUCAGUUACACAGUGCAGUAUCCAAAUGGUAGUAGACCUAGUUCGAUCGUUUCCGUUACUGUAUGUUCUAGAAACUGGAAACAGCUCACCAGUGCAGCAACCAAACUUUACAGUAUAGAUACUAAAUUUUAUUCUCCAGGAAAAACAUACUAACACCUAACAAAUGUACUCCAUGAAACUUGAGAGCCCGCCGUUCUGAAUUAUUUCCAAAUGCUAAUGGGAGAAACCAUGUUCAAUAGAUGAUAAGAUCGCAGCACAGGUAUCAGAAGGAAACUGUAUCACAUUUUCAUCAUGGUUGUCAUUUAGGAGAAAAUGUAGGUAACACAGAAUUUCUUGUUUCAAACAAUCACUACUAGGUCCCUAUAGCAAUUUGAUAAGAAAAGAAGCAACGGGUGAUGCUUGAAACAUGUCAAAAGAAGAUUAAAUAUUGACUUGACAAAUGUGAGGGAGAUCAAGGUGUCAUAUCUCAAGGAAGUGAAGAAUGACACUGACCACACUAGACAAGCAAAAUCGAAAAUGACAGGUAACAAGGAUAUAUGGAGAAGGAUUAAGUAUGGCCACUGUACACCCCUAUCUGUUGUAAAACAAUAAUAUGAAUAUUACCAUAGGAAAAUUUAAAUUCAUGAUUCAGAUAAUUGAUACCUUAUAGCUACCACAUAGGCACACACAAAAAACAUAUAUCUAUCAUCUACAGCUAAAGAAACUAGUCUAGGAUCAAGAGAUUAAGCUAAUAAAUCUACUCAAGGAUUGAGAAAUUAAGACCCAAUUUAUUCCUUUGCUGCUGCUAUUGCAAGCACUCAACUAACACAAACAGUGCUGCAAUAAUAUGCAAACCCUGCAGCACUAGAAACUGGGUUCAGUUCCAAAGCCUACAAAUAAAAACCUUUAUGUUUUUUUUAUUAUCAACAAACCAUUAAGGUUUUGACAGCUGAGUUGUCUUUCUAGACGGAAAUACCCAACUUAUUAUCUAACCCGAUUAAAAAACGAUUAAUGCAGUGUUGUUUCAUGAUAAAGGCAAGGCGCACUGCUUUACUGAAAGCAAUAGUUCAGACAAAGUACAGGUAACUGGCUGGGGUCACAAGCUUACAGAAUAUGAUUGUAUGUACGGUCCUGAACACUGAUCAAUUAUUUAUUUCGACCAGCAAAUAGCAAUGUCGACAUGGGCGUCACAGUCCAUAUGCACAAAUAACAAUGAAGUGAGGCCAGGACUCAAGACCGCACCCUGACUCCCUGAGGAGACCGCCAGCAAAGGAGUCAAGGGACGCUGAACCUGGCCAGUACCCUAGCAAACAGCAAACCCUCCCUGUCAGGGCGGAUGCAGCGAGGCCCCUUCCGCAAAUGCCAAAUCGUACGCCCGAUAGUUGACACAGGGGCACUGGGACCGCGAUUUCACGCGGGGAAAACAUUGCCGUGAUCGACUGAUGCCGCAUUGGUGGUAACCACUGCAGCAGCAAGCGCAGGAACAGAGAUCAAUCCACCCGCUCCCCCACCAAAAUGGCUAAUCAAUUCGGCUGGGGAGGGAGGCCAACCAGAUGGAUCGCGAUUAGCAAUGCGAGGUAACAUCGUAGGCCGGAUUCGUACGCGCGAGGCUAGGUGUGAGGGUGCGGCCAAUUAAUUCGAAAUUAACAUCGGGAGGGGAGAGGGAGAGGGAGAGAGGGAGGGAGGGGAGGGGGGAACCAAUACCGUGAUCACGCGCGGGGUUAGAGCAGGGCGUUGGCGGCGCGGCGGCGAGAAACGGCGGCCGGCGGGAGGAAGGAGGCGGGCGGCGAGAGCGCUUUUUGGUUGCGCCUCUCUCUUCCUCGGGGCGGAGCAGGGGGGCGCCGUCGUUUCGGCCAGGG